rnacentral:ncRNA from 1 species
AAAACAAGGGGAGCCCUCAUGCAAGGGGCUGAGAGUGGCGAAAGAGCCUGACCCUGGACCUGAUUUGGAUCAUGCCAACGUAGGGAUGUUUU